rnacentral:rRNA from 1 species
AACGAACGCUGGCGGCAUGCCUAACACAUGCAAGUCGAACGAGACCUUCGGGUCUAGUGGCGCACGGGUGCGUAACGCGUGGGAACCUGCCCUUAGGUUCGGAAUAACUCCCCGAAAGGGGUGCUAAUACCGGAUAAUGUCUUCGGACCAAUGAUUUAUCGCCUUUGGAUGGGCCCGCGUUGGAUUAGCUAGUUGGUAGGGUAAAAGCCUACCAAGGCGACGAUCCAUAGCUGGUCUGAGAGGAUGAUCAGCCACACUGGGACUGAGACACGGCCCAGACUCCUACGGGAGGCAGCAGUGGGGAUAUUGGACAAUGGGCGAAAGCCUGAUCCAGCAAUGCCGCGUGAGUGAUGAAGGCCUUAGGGUUGUAAAGCUCUUUUACCCGGGAUGAUAAUGACAGUACCGGGAGAAUAAGCUCCGGCUAACUCCGUG